rfam:Papio anubis isolate 1X1155 chromosome X, whole genome shotgun sequence.
GUAUAGGCGAUAGAAAUCUUAACCUGGCGCUAUAGAUACAGUACCGUAAGGGAAAGACUAGAAAACCACCCAAGCACAAAACAGCAAGGACUAACCCCUGUACCUUUUGCAUAAUGAAUUAGCCAGAAACAAUUUCACAAAGAGAACUGAAGCCAAAUUCCCCGAAACCAGACGAGCUACCCAAAAACAGCUGAAAGAGCGCACCCGUCUAUGUGGCAAAAUAGUGGGAAGAUUUCUGGGUAGAGGUGACAAGCCUACCGAGCCUGGUGAUAGCUGGUUAUCCAAGAUAGAAUCUUAGUUCAGCCUUAAGUUUACCCACAGAAUAACCCAAUCCCUCUGUAAACUUAAUUGUUAGUCUAAAGAGGGACAGCUCUUUAGACACUAGGAAAAACCUUACAUAGAGAGUAAAAACCCCCGUCACCAUAGUUGGCCUAAAAGCAGCCAUCAAUUAAGAAAGCGUUCAAGCUCAACAUUAACCACCUAAAAAAUCCCAAACAUACUAUUGAACUCCUUAAAUCACAUUGGAUUAAUCUAUCACCCCAUAGAAGCAAUAAUGCUAGUAUAAGUAACAUGAACUCUCUCUCCCUACUGCAUAAGCCUAAACCAAACCAAAACCCCACUGAUACUUAACAGCCCAGUACUAACAAACACAAACAAGUCCAUACUACUUUCUUUUUUUUUUCUCUCUCUUUCUCUUUCAUUUAAUGACUCACUCACUAGCAGAAAUUAUUCACAAUUCUGUGAAAUUUUCUACAGCAUUUAAUCCCAAAGGUUCUGAAUAUACAAGAAAAAAGUAUAAGAAGAAGAUGGAGCAGUUUAUGGAGAGUUGUGAACUCAUAACAUACCUGGGUGCCAAGAUGACCAGAAAAUACAAGGAACCUCAGUUCAGAGCCAUUGACUUUGAUCAUAAGUUAAAGACCUUUCUCUCUCUCAGAAAUAUAGACCCAAUUAAUGGGUAGUUUACUUAGGUGAUAGCAGCCUGAAUCUCAAGAGUUAUCUGAAAGUGAUAGAGGGAAACUGAGAGAAGUAGAUUGAAAAUCUGGACCUCUUGGAAGUACUUUUACUACUUUCACUGUUAAUCCAACACAGGCAUGCUUUUAAGGAAAGGUUAAAAAAAGUAAAAGGAACUCGGCAAACUUAGCCCCGCCUGUUUACCAAAAACAUCACCUCUAGCAUUACUAGUAUUAGAGGCACUGCCUGCCCAGUGACACACGUUUAACGGCCGCGGUACCCUGACCGUGCAAAGGUAGCAUAAUCACUUGUUCUUUAAAUAGGGACUCGCAUGAAUGGCAACACGAGGGUUCAGCUGUCUCUUACUUUUAACCAGUGAAAUUGACCUAUCCGUGAAGAGGCGGACAUGAAACAAUAAGACGAGAAGACCCCAUGGAGCUUCAAUUUACUAAUGUAGCUAAGAAUCGUAUAAAUCCACGGACUCUAAAACUUCUAUGCCUACAUUAAAAAUUUUGGUUGGGACCUCGGAGCAUAACCAAUGCAUCAUAUGCUGAGAUACACAGCAAAGCGAACUAACAUCCACAAUUGACAAUAAUUUGAUCAGGACAGUUAUCAGGGAUAACAGCGCAAUUCUAUUCUAGAGUCCAUAUCAACAAUAGAGUUUACGACCUCGAUGUUGGAUCAGGACAUCCUAAGUGCAGCUAUCAAGGGUUGUUUGUUCAACGAUUAAAGUCCUACCGUGAUCUUGAGUUUUCAGACCGGAGCAUGGUCGGUUUCUAUCUAUUCUACAUUUCUCCUGUAGAGGGCAGUAAGGCCUAUUCAG